AGUGUAAACUGGUCUGUUGUGGAUUCAUAUUUUUUUAUGUUUUUCUUUUACCACACCAGUGUAAGGAUUGUUUUGCUGUACUAAAAUUAGUUAAACUGGUAUUUUGAUGUCUUGAAAACAGCUCUAAAGGGGCACUAUAGUCACCAGAACUACAGCUUAAUGUAGUUGUUCUGGUGUUUAUACCAUGUCCCUUCAGGCUGAGCAAUGAACAUGUUGCCUUUUCAGAGAAAGUAUUGGCAGUCAGUCAAAGGGUCUGCAUGAAGACGCUGAACGCUCCCAAUAGAAAUGGCCCCCAAAUUAGUGUUUGUGGCAAUGUAGCUUCCCCCUUCUGUCACUUACUCGGGUCCAGCGUGAUGUCCCUUGGCGCUGGCUCGGCUUCUCCCCUGCUAAUGUCAGACGGCGGGGGAGACCUAAUGCGCAUGUGUGGCAAUUGCCUCGCUUGCAUAAGGAUUUCCCCAUAGGGGGAAGCAUUAUUCAAUGCUUUCCUAUGGGGAUUCCAGUGAUGCUGGAAGUCCUCAUGCAUAGCGUGAGGACAUUGUUUAGGCGACCAAAAGUCGCCCAUAUCCACCUGUUAGUCCCUCUAGGGGCUGUCAGCCACUCGAGGAGUUAACCCUAGCAGGUAAUCUUUGCAGUAAAAACUGCAAUAAUUACAUGCUCUGGGUUAAGGGUGAUGGUAGUUUGCACCCAGACCACUUCAAUGGGCUGAAGUGGUCUGGGUGCCUACAGUGUCACUUUAAGUACGUAAACGUUUGCUCUUCUCAGAUACUGAUCUAAAAGGAGUUGCCUAUUUGGUGAACAAAGUAAGAAAUCCUUUUUUAAAAUUUAUUUAAUAAAUGUGCUAGAGUGUGGUUUUAUAUCCAGGAACUAUGUGCCUAAAUGUCAACUUUUUUUUUUAUUUUUUAUAAAGACUCUUCCAUCGUACAAUCUGAUCUAUGCGCCAUUUGGAACCUCAUACAUCAUAACAAAGAAUCCAG